CUGUGUACGUUGCAAAGUACUCAGAAGAAUUGUGGUAAGUAGUGAAAUACAAAUCGGACUAGGAUAUAGCUGGUUUUCUGCGAAAAUUGUUUUGGCAAAUUGUUUAUUCCUCUUAAAAAUAGUAGGUAUAGCACUGAAUAUCUCGAGGGAGUAUGAAAAUAUUUAUCUCAGAUAUUUAAUCUCAAAAUAACUAUUUCUUAAAAUAAAUAAUCAGACUAUGUGCGAUAAGGUAGAUAGUCGAAAGGGAAACAGCCCAGAACAG
rnacentral:rRNA from 1 species